rnacentral:rRNA from 1 species
AGCCUGAUGCAGCCAUGCCGCGUGUAUGAAGAAGGCCUUCGGGUUGUAAAGUACUUUCAGCAGUGAGGAAGGUAGGGUCGUUAAUAGCUGGCUUGUUUGACGUUAGCUGCAGAAGAAGCACCGGCUAACUCCGUGCCAGCAGCCGCGGUAAUA